rnacentral:rRNA from 1 species
GGUUGAUCCUGCCAGUAGUCAUAUGCUUGUGUUAAAGAUUAAGCCAUGCAUGCCUAAGUACAGACUUGUAAAAGGAGAAACUGCGGACGGCUCCAUAGAUCAGUAAUUGUUUGUUUGGUGAUUGAAACGUACUUGGAUAACCCUGUUAAUUGUAGAGCUAAUACGUGCAUCAACGACCUGAUUGGGUGACCGAGAGGGUCGCACUUGUCUAAGCAAUCACAAGCUCAAGGUUGCCAUCGCUGCAGUUGUUGGGGAGGACCUAGAGAAUGAAUUUGUGGUAACAACUGGGGAUGAAAAGCAAAGGAGGAAGCAUAAAGCUUAAUAAGCGAGGACCUUUGCCAAAAUCUCUGGGGUUAAGGUUGAGAAGCUUUAGGGUUUCUUUGACCGAAAAACAAUUCCAUGGGUUCGCUUUGGAGUUCCGUCGAUCCAAUGGUCGUACGGUGAGCAGUCUCGGGGACAGGGUGAAACAGGACAAUUCAAAGCUGAUCGCCUGCGCAAGCGGGCGACACGCCAUUCGAAUUUCUGACCUAUCAACUCGAUGGUAGGAUAGUGGCCUACCAUGGUUAUAACGGGUAACGGGGAAUCAGGGCUCGAUUCCGGAGAGGGAGCCUGAGAAACGGCUACCACUUCCAAGGAAGGCAGCAGGCGCGUAAAUUACUCCCUGCCGACACGGCGAGGUAGUGACGACAAAUACCAAGGCCAGCCACUCUAUAGUGGCUGGCCAUUGGAAUGAGCAGAAUUUAAAUCCCUCUGCAAGUAACAAUUGGAGGGCAAGUCUGGUGCCAGCAGCCGCGGUAAUUCCAGCUCCAAGAGUGUAUACUAAAGCUGUUGCGGUUAAAACGCUCGUAGUUGAAUUCCGACAUCUGGUUCAUAUCCUUUAAGAAAGAGGUAAAGUAUUAAAGGUAAAAGGGAGUAAUCUCUUUUGCUUUUUGCAUUAUACUCACUUUAAGGAUCCAGAGAAGUCAUUUAAUCCAUGUAAUCAUGCCAGUAUCCCAAUGGAGCUCUUCACUGGGCUUCAUACAAUUAACAACCCUGACCAACAAGGAAAGGGGGGAUACUGGACCUCACGUUUACCUUGAAUAAACUAGAGUGCUUCAAGCAGGCGAUUUCCGCCUUUGAAUACGAUUAGCAUGGGAUAAACAUAAUCCAAAACAAGCCGGGUCCGAUCGAAACUGAGUUGAUUUCAUACUUAGUGAAGGGAGAUCCUUGUGUCAGUUUUUGUUGUUGUUUGUGCAAAUAAUGGUACUGUAGUUUCAGUGGUCCGUUUAGCUUUCCACGAAGGGGCUCAGAUCUUAUUUAUCGAGGUAAUCUGGUAUGCUGCUAUUCCAAGCAGUACUUCCAGUUUAUCCGGUGAAUGAGGGGGUCCGCUGGUAAAACAGCAUGCAGUGCUAUGUGCAAGCAAGGGCAAAGGCGGCAAGGGUCGAUAAAGACUCUUCAUUG